rnacentral:lncRNA from 1 species
AAAAUAAAUCUAGGCAAAGGAAAAAUGAAAUUCAAAAUUUGGAAAAAAAAACUUCAAACAUUACAGAAAAGAAAGGAUAAUAAUAAACCAAGUGAAGUAGAAAAGAAUGAAAUCAAUUUAUUAGAAAGUGAGAUAGAAUCUCUUUAUAGUUAUAAAGCAAAAGGUGCACAGAUACGUUCAAGGAUAAAAUGGAUAGAAGAAGGGGAAAAGAAUUCUAAAUUUUUUCUAGGAUUAGAGAAAAGUAGACAAACAAGAAAAAAUAUAAUAAAUUUAAAAAACGAGAAAGGGGAGAUAAUUACAAAAC